AUUGAACGCUGGCGGCAUGCCUUACACAUGCAAGUCGAACGGUAACAGGUCUUCGGAUGCUGACGAGUGGCGAACGGGUGAGUAAUACAUCGGAACGUGCCUAGUAGUGGGGGAUAACUACUCGAAAGAGUGGCUAAUACCGCAUGAGAUCUACGGAUGAAAGCAGGGGAUCGCAAGACCUUGUGCUACUAGAGCGGCCGAUGGCAGAUUAGGUAGUUGGUGGGAUAAAAGCUUACCAAGCCGACGAUCUGUAGCUGGUCUGAGAGGACGAUCAGCCACACUGGGAAUGAGACACGGCCACGACUCCUACGGGAGGCAGCAGUGGGGAAUUUUGGACAAUGGGCGAAAGCCUGAUCCAGCAAUGCCGCGUGCAGGAUGAAGGCCUUCGGGUUGUAAACUGCUUUUGUACGGAACGAAAAGCCCCGGGUUAAUACCCUGGGGUCAUGACGGUACCGUAAGAAUAAGCACCGGCUAACUACGUGCCAGCAGCCGCAGUAA
rnacentral:rRNA from 1 species